UACGAAGGGUGCUAGCGUUGUUCGGAAUACUGGGCGUAAAGCGCGCGUAGGCGGUUUAACAAGUCAGAGGUGAAAGCCCUGGCUCAACCCAGGAAUUGCCUUUGAAACUGUUAGACUUGAGUGUCGGAGGGGAUAGCGGAAUUGCUAAUGUAGAGGUGAAAUUCGUAGAUAUUAGCAGGAACACCGGUGGCGAAGGCGGCUAUCUGGACGACAACUGACGCUGAGGCGCGAAAGCGUGGGGAGCAAACAGG
rnacentral:rRNA from 1 species